rnacentral:sRNA from 1 species
UGACGAAAUUGGUGGGCUAUGUACAGA